GUGUCAUAUAAAAGGAAAGAAGUUAGCCUUCCCUUUAUAAAGAUGGAAGAAGCCCUUGAGUCUAAUAACACAGUUAAGGCAUUGCCACCUGCUUUGUGGCAUCUAACCAUUGCUGAAC
ensembl:snRNA Gm26249 predicted gene, 26249